GGCCGGCUAAUUCAGUGCCAGCAGCCGCGGUAAUACUGAAGGCCCGAGCGUUAAUCGGAAUCACUGGGCUUAAAGCGUACGCAGGCGGACUUGUAGGUAUUUUGUGAAAUCCCACGGCUUAACCGUGGAACUGCAGAGUAAACCACAAGUCUUGAGACAUGUAGGGGUCAGUGGAACGAUGUGUGGAGCGGUGAAAUGCGUAGAUAUACAUCGGAACGCCAAUGGCGAAGGCAGCUGACUGGGCAUGUUCUGACGCUCAGGUACGAAAGCGUGGGUAGCGAACGGGAUUAGAUACCCCGGUAGUCCACGCCGUAAACGAUGCACACUAGAUCGUGGUAUCUCUCAUGAUUUCACGGUCGAAGGUAAACUGGUAAGUGUGCCGCCUGGGGAGUACGGUCGCAAGGCUAAAACUCAAAGGAAUUGACGGGGGCUCACACAAGCGGUGGAGCAUGUUGCUUAAUUCGAGGCAACGCGAAGAACCUUACCUGGGCUUGACAUGUAUGGAUUAGCUCUUGGAAACAAGAGUGACGCCCUUGGGUGGAACAUACACAGGUGCUGCAUGGCUGUCGUCAGCUCGUGCUGUGAAGUGUCGGGUUAAGUCCCUUAACGAGCGCAACCCCUAUCGUUAGUUACUAACGCGUUAUGGCGAGGACUCUAGCGAGACUGCCGGUGUCAAACCGGAGGAAGGUGGGGAUGACGUCAAGUCCUCAUGGCCUUUAUGCCCAGGGAUGCAAACGUGCUACAAUGGUACGGACAAAGCGAUGCGAUACCGCGAGGUGGAGCAAAUCGCAAAAACCGUGCCCCAGUUCGGAUAGCAGGCUGAAAUUCGCCUGCUUGAAGCCGGAAUCGCUAGUAAUCGCGUAUCAGCUACGACGCG
rnacentral:rRNA from 1 species